rnacentral:tRNA from 1 species
UGGGGAGUCGUCUAACGGCAGGACACCUGGCUCUGGCCCAGGCAAUCGGGGUUCGAAACCCUGCUCCCCAG